CACGUAGGGCGCAAGCGUUGUCCGGAAUUAUUGGGCGUAAAGAGCUCGUAGGCGGUCUGUUGCGUCUGCUGUGAAAACCCGGGGCUUAACCCCUGGCUUGCAGUGGAUACGGACAGACUAGAGGUAGGUAGGGGAGACUGGAAUUCCUGGUGUAGCGGUGAAAUGCGCAGAUAUCAGGAGGAACACCGGUGGCGAAGGCGGCUCACUGGCCCGGUACUGACGCUGAGGAGCGAAAGCGUGGGGAGCGAACAGG
rnacentral:rRNA from 1 species